rnacentral:lncRNA from 1 species
CGCUGAUGAACCACGAGGUGGCCAGUGGCCACGGCUGGGGAUGUUCCGUGGCAGGAAGCCCGCUUGAGGGUCUUGCAUGCGACCAGACUUCAUAAAAGAUCCAGCUGAGAGGUCUGCCUGCCUGGGGGCUGGAAGGUGUCCCCCUCCCCCAAGCCAUCCCCUGCAAGCCCGUCCCUUGAACCAUUCCCAGAAAGGCCUUAGGGCUGCCAGCCUCCCAGCUGCUGAGGCCCAAAUCGAAUCAGGGCAAAGCAGGAGGCACCAGACAGCCAUCUAGCCCUGGCCCCCCGGCUGCCCCAGACAGCGGCCGGCUCCUUCCGGUAAAGGCUCUAAUCCGUUUAGGAAGGAACCAGGGACUCCAGGAGGGAGGGACACAGAGAGGGAAGAGGGGCUGGGCUGUGGGCCAUCCCCAGCUCCUUGUCUCGGUCAUCCGGGCUUGUAGGACCCCCUGUCCCGAGCCACAGCCCAGGUGGGUGCACUUGGGGAGCAUGGAGAGAGACAGCCACUCCCUGCAAAGGGCCUCAGAUGGAGGGAGAGGCAGGUUCCACGUGCCUGGAGCAAGAAUGCAGCAGGAGAAGCGGGGGAAGAUGAGACCCAGGCCCACGUCUGCUAGGAGCACCUCGGAGGAGGAAUUCCCACCUGAAGACCCCACCACAAGGAUGUCGCAAAGCUGAAACCUGAGCUCGGGUCAUACCAACUAAAUCCGGGUUCCCAUCACCCCACAACGCAGCCUUCAAGCCCCUUCCCCCGUGGAAUGAUGACACAGCGGUGGGCUCGGCUCUGCACUGCCCAACCCUGCCCGGCAGUGAACAGGCGAGACCACCCAGCUGGGACCCAGGGAAGAGGCAAAGAGGAGACCCCUCAGCAGGGUCCGUUUCUCCUGCCUGGGCUUGUCCUGCACCCAGGACCAAUGUGGCCCUACAGGACAGCUAGAACCCUCCCCUCCUCUUCUCCCCAAGUGUCCCCAGAGCUUCAGAAAAGUGUGUGCUUAAAGGACGAUUCAAUGAAAUAAUUUUCUAAAAAGAGAAUAAAUACAUACAUACAUAAAGAAGCAGGAGUGUACCAGCCUGGGCAACAUAGCAAGACCCCACCUCUACAAAAAUAAAAAAAAUUAGCCAGGUGUGGUGGUCCACACCUGUGGUCCCAGCUACUCAGGAGGCUGAGGCAGGAGGAUCACUUGAGCCCAGGAGUUCGAGGCUACAG